GCUGGCGGCGUGCCUAAUACAUGCAAGUCGAGCGAAUUGAUGGGAGCUUGCUCCCUGAUAUUAGCGGCGGACGGGUGAGUAACACGUGGGUAACCUGCCUGUAAGAUUGGGAUAACUCCGGGAAACCGGAGCUAAUACCGGAUAACAUGUUGAACCGCAUGGUUCAACAUUGAAAGAUGGCUUUUGCUAUCACUUACAGAUGGACCCGCGGCGCAUUAGCUAGUUGGUGAGGUAACGGCUCACCAAGGCGACGAUGCGUAGCCGACCUGAGAGGGUGAUCGGCCACACUGGGACUGAGACACGGCCCAGACUCCUACGGGAGGCAGCAGUAGGGAAUCUUCCGCAAUGGACGAAAGUCUGACGGAGCAACGCCGCGUGAACGAUGAAGGCCUUCGGGUCGUAAAGUUCUGUUGUUAGGGAAGAACAAGUACCAGAGUAACUGCUGGUACCUUGACGGUACCUAACCAGAAAGCCACGGCUAACUACGUGCCAGCAGCCGCGGUAAUACGUAGGUGGCAAGCGUUGUCCGGAAUUAUUGGGCGUAAAGCGCGCGCAGGUGGUUUCUUAAGUCUGAUGUGAAAGCCCACGGCUCAACCGUGGAGGGUCAUUGGAAACUGGGGAACUUGAGUGCAGAAGAGGAAAGUGGAAUUCCAAGUGUAGCGGUGAAAUGCUUAGAGAUUUGGAGGAACACCAUUGGCGAAGGCGACUU
rnacentral:rRNA from 1 species